rnacentral:rRNA from 1 species
CCUACGGGAGGCAGCAGUGAGGAAUAUUGGUCAAUGGGCGCGAGCCUGAACCAGCCAAGUCGCGUGAGGGAUGACGGUCCUACGGAUUGUAAACCUCUUUUGCCGGGGAGCAAGCGUGCGUUCGUGAACGCACGUCGAGCGUACCCGGAGAAAACGCAUCGGCUAACUCGGUGCCAGCAGCCGCGGUAAUACGGAGGCUGCGAGCGUUAUCCGGAUUUAUUGGGGUUAAAGGGUGUGUAGGCGGGAUGCCAUGUCCGCGGUAAAAAUGCGGUGCUCAACGCCGUCGAGCCGUUGAAACUGGCGGGCUGGAGUGGGCGAGAAGUAGGCGGAAUGCGUGGUGUAGCGGUGAAAUGCAUAGAUAUCAGGCGGAACUCCGAUUGCGAAGGCAGCAGGCCGGCGCCCUACUGACGCUGAGGCACGAAAGCGUGGGUAUCGAACAGGAUUAGAUACCCGGGUAGUC